GUGUGACUGCGUACCUUUUGUAUAAUGGGUCAGCGACUUAUAUUCUGUAGCAAGGUUAACCGAAUAGGGGAGCCGAAGGGAAACCGAGUCUUAACUGGGCGUUAAGUUGCAGGGUAUAGACCCGAAACCCGGUGAUCUAGCCAUGGGCAGGUUGAAGGUUGGGUAACACUAACUGGAGGACCGAACCGACUAAUGUUGAAAAAUUAGCGGAUGACUUGUGGCUGGGGGUGAAAGGCCAAUCAAACCGGGAGAUAGCUGGUUCUCCCCGAAAGCUAUUUAGGUAGCGCCUCGUGAAUUCAUCUCCGGGGGUAGAGCACUGUUUCGGCAAGGGGGUCAUCCCGACUUACCAACCCGAUGCAAACUGCGAAUACCGGAGAAUGUUAUCACGGGAGACACACGGCGGGUGCUAACGUCCGUCGUGAAGAGGGAAACAACCCAGACCGCCAGCUAAGGUCCCAAAGUCAUGGUUAAGUGGGAAACGAUGUGGGAAGGCCCAGACAGCCAGGAUGUUGGCUUAGAAGCAGCCAUCAUUUAAAGAAAGCGUAAUAGCUCACUGGUCGAGUCGGCCUGCGCGGAAGAUGUAACGGGGCUAAACCAUGCACCGAAGCUGCGGCAGCGACGCUUAUGCGUUGUUGGGUAGGGGAGCGUUCUGUAAGCCUGUGAAGGUGUACUGUGAGGUAUGCUGGAGGUAUCAGAAGUGCGAAUGCUGACAUAAGUAACGAUAAAGCGGGUGAAAAGCCCGCUCGCCGGAAGACCAAGGGUUCCUGUCCAACGUUAAUCGGGGCAGGGUGAGUCGACCCCUAAGGCGAGGCCGAAAGGCGUAGUCGAUGGGAAACAGGUUAAUAUUCCUGUACUUGGUGUUACUGCGAAGGGGGGACGGAGAAGGCUAUGUUGGCCGGGCGACGGUUGUCCCGGUUUAAGCGUGUAGGCUGGUUUUCCAGGCAAAUCCGGAAAAUCAAGGCUGAGGCGUGAUGACGAGGCACUACGGUGCUGAAGCAACAAAUGCCCUGCUUCCAGGAAAAGCCUCUAAGCAUCAGGUAACAUCAAAUCGUACCCCAAACCGACACAGGUGGUCAGGUAGAGAAUACCAAGGCGCUUGAGAGAACUCGGGUGAAGGAACUAGGCAAAAUGGUGCCGUAACUUCGGGAGAAGGCACGCUGAUAUGUAGGUGAAGCGACUUGCUCGUGGAGCUGAAAUCAGUCGAAGAUACCAGCUGGCUGCAACUGUUUAUUAAAAACACAGCACUGUGCAAACACGAAAGUGGACGUAUACGGUGUGACGCCUGCCCGGUGCCGGAAGGUUAAUUGAUGGGGUCAGCGCAAGCGAAGCUCUUGAUCGAAGCCCCGGUAAACGGCGGCCGUAACUAUAACGGUCCUAAGGUAGCGAAAUUCCUUGUCGGGUAAGUUCCGACCUGCACGAAUGGCGUAAUGAUGGCCAGGCUGUCUCCACCCGAGACUCAGUGAAAUUGAACUCGCUGUGAAGAUGCAGUGUACCCGCGGCAAGACGGAAAGACCCCGUGAACCUUUACUAUAGCUUGACACUGAACAUUGAGCCUUGAUGUGUAGGAUAGGUGGGAGGCUUUGAAGUGUGGACGCCAGUCUGCAUGGAGCCGACCUUGAAAUACCACCCUUUAAUGUUUGAUGUUCUAACGUGGACCCGUAAUCCGGGUUGCGGACAGUGUCUGGUGGGUAGUUUGACUGGGGCGGUCUCCUCCUAAAGAGUAACGGAGGAGCACGAAGGUUGGCUAAUCCUGGUCGGACAUCAGGAGGUUAGUGCAAUGGCAUAAGCCAGCUUGACUGCGAGCGUGACGGCGCGAGCAGGUGCGAAAGCAGGUCAUAGUGAUCCGGUGGUUCUGAAUGGAAGGGCCAUCGCUCAACGGAUAAAAGGUACUCCGGGGAUAACAGGCUGAUACCGCCCAAGAGUUCAUAUCGACGGCGGUGUUUGGCACCUCGAUGUCGGCUCAUCACAUCCUGGGGCUGAAGUAGGUCCCAAGGGUAUGGCUGUUCGCCAUUUAAAGUGGUACGCGAGCUGGGUUUAGAACGUCGUGAGACAGUUCGGUCCCUAUCUGCCGUGGGCGCUGGAGAACUGAGGGGGGCUGCUCCUAGUACGAGAGGACCGGAGUGGACGCAUCACUGGUGUUCGGGUUGUCAUGCCAAUGGCACUGCCCGGUAGCUAAAUGCGGAAGAGAUAAGUGCUGAAAGCAUCUAAGCACGAAACUUGCCCCGAGAUGAGUUCUCCCUGACUCCUUGAGAGUCCUGAAGGAACGUUGAAGACGACGACGUUGAUAGGCCGGGUGUGUAAGCGCAGCGAUGCGUUGAGCUAACCGGUACUAAUGAACCGUGAGGCUUAACC
rnacentral:rRNA from 1 species